rnacentral:rRNA from 1 species
GAUGAACGCUAGCGGGAGGCUUAAUACAUGCAAGUCGAGGGGUAACAGGGGCUUCGGCCCGCUGACGACCGGCGCACGGGUGAGUAACGCGUACGCAACUUACCUCCAAGCGAGGGAUAGCCCUGGGAAACUGGGAUUAAUACCUCAUGUGAUUAUGAUGCCGCAUGGUGUUAUAAUUAAAGUUCAGGCGCUUGGAGAUGGACGUGCGUCCUAUUAGCUAGUUGGUGAGGUAACGGCUCACCAAGGCGACGAUAGGUAGGGGGCGUGAGAGCGUGGCCCCCCACACGGGUACUGAGACACGGACCCGACUCCUACGGGAGCAGCAGUAAGGAAUAUUGGACAAUGGGCGCAAGCCUGAUCCAGCCAUCCCGCGUGCAGGAUGACAGCCCUA